rnacentral:rRNA from 1 species
AGGUAGCGUAAUCACUUGUUCUUUAAAUGUGGACUAGUAUGAACGGCUUCACGAAGGUUAUACUGUCUCCUUUUUCUAAUCAGUGAAACUAAUCUCCCCGUGAAGAAGCGGGGAUAAAGCUAUAAGACGAGAAGACCCUAUGGAGCUUAAAACGACACAGCACUUACCAAAAAUUUUUAAUGUUUCUGUAACACUAAUUCUUUAAAGUAAAAUGACUGCAAGUUUUCGGUUGGGGUGACCACGGAGUAUAUCAUAACCUCCAUGUUGAAAGAAUUUCUUUCUAAGCCAAGAAUAACCAAUCUAAGCAUUAACAAAUUAACAUCUAUUGACCCAAUAAAUUUGAUCAACGAACCAAGUUACCCUAGGGAUAACAGCGCAAUCCACUUCAAGAGCUCCUAUCGACAAGUGGGUUUACGACCUCGAUGUUGGAUCAGGGUAUCCCAGUGGUGCAGCCGCUACUAAAGGUUCGUUUGUUCAACGAUUAAAAACCCUACGUGAUCUGAGUUCA